rnacentral:piRNA from 1 species
AUGGUGGUACGGUCGUUCCGCACGGUAUGC